rnacentral:rRNA from 1 species
UACAGAGGAGCCAAGCGUUGUCCGGAUUGACUGGGCGUAAAGCGCACGCAGGCGGAUGCGCGCGUGGGGUGUGAAAUCUGGCCGCUUAACGGCCAGGCGCCAUCCCAUACGGCGCGUCUGGAGGGAUGCAGAGGUCGAUGGAAUUGCCGGUGUAGUGGUGAAAUGCGUAGAGAUCGGCAGGAACACCCAGGGGGAAACCAGUCGACUGGGCAUCACCUGACGCUGAGG